UACGAAGGGUGCAAACGUUGUUCGGAAUUACUGGGCGUAAAGCGCACGUAGGUGGCUUUGUAAGUUAGAGGUGAAAGCCCGGGGCUCAACCCCGGAAUUGCCUUUAAGACUGCAUCGCUAGAAUUGUGGAGAGGUAAGUGGAAUUCCGAGUGUAGAGGUGAAAUUCGUAGAUAUUCGGAAGAACACCAGUGGCGAAGGCGACUUACUGGACACAUAUUGACGCUGAGGUGCGAAAGCGUGGGGAGCAAACAGG
rnacentral:rRNA from 1 species